GACGAACGCUGGCGGCGUGCUUAACACAUGCAAGUCGAACGAUGACGACCGAGCUUGCUCGGUCUGAUUAGUGGCGAACGGGUGAGUAACACGUGAGCAACCUGCCCUUCACUCUGGGAUAACCUCGGGAAAUUGGGGCUAAUACCGGAUAUGAGCUCCUGUCGCAUGGCGGGUGUUGGAAAGUUUUUCGGUGAAGGAUGGGCUCGCGGCCUAUCAGUUUGUUGGUGAGGUAGUGGCUCACCAAGGCGAUGACGGGUAGCCGGCCUGAGAGGGCGACCGGCCACACUGGGACUGAGACACGGCCCAGACUCCUACGGGAGGCAGCAGUGGGGAAUAUUGCACAAUGGGCGAAAGCCUGAUGCAGCGACGCCGCGUGAGGGAUGACGGCCUUCGGGUUGUAAACCUCUUUCAGCAGGGAAGAAGCGAAAGUGACGGUACCUGCAGAAGAAGCGCCGGCUAACUACGUG
rnacentral:rRNA from 1 species